CCCUCCUUUUCCCUCUCCCUCCCCCUCUUUGUCUUUCCUUCACACUGGGGUCCCAUCAAGAGCCGAAUCCUCCUCCAACUGUGCAAGCUAAAUAGCUGCCCGUUGUGAUUUUAAAAUGUCCACAUCCUCUGUACCACAGGUUUUUGCAGCCUCCGCCUUCAUGAACAUGGAAAGUUCUGUUCUGGGAUUUUAUUGAAAGUUUGGGUAAACUCAGUUCACAGCCUCACAAAACUCCUCCUCCCUUACCUCCUCUCCUCUCCCUGCUGGAAUCUUUGGGACAGAGAUCUUUUGCUAUUCACCAUACCUGUACAAUCAACAUCCACCCUUCAAGGAAAAGAAGUAAUAAAGAUGUAUUUCCUGCCAACCAUUUGGGACAAUGAGAGAAAAGGAGGAACUAUAAAGUGUGGACACUAUAACCAUUGUGUACCCAGGUGCAUUUCCUCGGAGGAUAAGGAUGGAAGACUUAGUCACAGGGCCUGAGAAAGUCAUACAAAGAAGCUGCCUUGACUGGGGGACAAGAAGAAAACAGACAGUCCCCUCCUCUCUUUUCUCCUUCUCACCUCCUUUUCUUU
rnacentral:lncRNA from 1 species